AUCCCUUCGCAGUGGCAGUAUCGUAGCCUAUGAGGUCAAUCCGAGGCGUGAUUAUUGCUAGUUGAAACUUUAAUUAAUUCCCACUUGGACGACCUGAAACAGUAAUGCAAUGGCAAUUUUUGAUGGUUUUUAUGGAGA